GCCUGGGUGGCUCAGUCGGUUGAGCAUCUGACUUUGGCUCAGGUCACGAUCUCACGGUUUGUGAGUUCAAGCCCCGCAUCAGGCU
rnacentral:tRNA from 1 species